CCGUAGCUCAACUGGAUAGAGUACCUGGCUUCGAACCAGGCGGUUGUAGGUUCAAAUCCUGCCGGG
rnacentral:tRNA from 2 species